GUUAAAUUAGGGAAAAGUAGAGGGGAAAGAGGGAAAGGAGGAAGGCUGGCUCGACCCUCCCACCCCACGCGUGUCUGCACCCCCUACAGCCGUGACCGAGAGGGCUUAAAGGAGAGGGGUGGGCAUUAUCCACUGCAGCCCCGUUAGUGCUGCCCAAAGUGGGAGCAGACCCCAAGCAGCACCCACAAAAUUCCCCCUCCCCGGUGGUUUUUUAUCGCUCUCCCCCGUUUUUCCCGUGUGGGGAAGCGGGAGGAGCUGGAAGCACAGUGGGGUGAGCCGCUGGGGACUGGGAAUGCCGUCGGUCUGGAUGGGGAGGGAUGUCCCAGAGCGGUGGGAAAUGUUGGGGGAAAGGGGUGCUUUACUUCAUGUCGGGUUGGUUUCGCACUUGGGGAAAUUUGGGGGAUUUUGGGGUGGGUUUGGGCCUUGGGAUGCCAUUGGGGCCUUGCGGGUGGCAAUGGCAAUGGCAAGACCCCAAAACCCGCUUGUGGAAAGGGGUCAGGGUGAAACCCCUUCCCCAAGGAGGGUCCGGGAAAGGGGGGGAGAUGAGUUGAGGUGAUGUUUUCUCUGGAAAUCAUGGAAGCAGCCUCUGGGAACAGCCCGGUCUGGUGGAAGGUGUCCCUGCCCACGGCAGGAGGGUCAGGACUGGAUGGGCCUUAAGGUCUUUUCCAACCCAACCCAUCCUGGAGCUGUAGGAUUCCAUGAACACCACCUCAGGGCAGGAGAAGGGCUGGAUGGAGCACGGAGCGGGGAAUUACGGCCGGAGACAGAACUCUUGGGACUGCUUUAGGUUUCAGCAGCAGAUUCCCCCGGCUGAACCCCUCGGCUGGGCUGAAUUUAGCAGCAGAAGAGAUAACCAGCAGAUAAGGACUGAUACCCUGGGAGGACAGCGGCAGACAAUGGGCGGCCGGGCAAGGGGAGAGAAGCCGGAGGCAGCGUUGGGAAGGGCAACACCAGGAGCAGAGAAGAUUUCAAGAACCUGUUUUGGCUUUGCUACUUCCAGGAAAAAAGCUACAAAAGCGAUUCCCGUGGAUUGUUUGGCGUGAAGAGUGGCCGGAUCCAGCCCUUUCUGCAGGGAAUUAUCGGCCGGAGGGGCCGGGAAUGGCAGGGACGAGCAUCCCAAGAGCCGGCAGGGAGAGGAUGGAUUUAGGACACAUUUAGGAUUUUCUCCCGGAAAAAGCAGACGGGACACAGCAAAACCCAGCGGCAAAAAAAAAAAAACAACCCAAAACUAAACCCAAAACUGUGUUCUGCACGCGGUGGAGACUUUUUUUUUUCCUUGCGAUUAACGAAAUCUGUGUGAAAAUAACCCAGGGGAACAAACUUUGGCCUUGCCUCUCUCCUUUCCAGCCUUCAGUUCUGCCCCAGGCAGGAAAAAAGUCGAUACGAAAAUAUGCCUAUUUUUAGGGCUUUUCUUGUGGUGUUUUUUGGGGUUUUUUUAAAUAAUUUUUUCCCCCCGUAUCGAACUUACUUCCGCGGUGGUUUUAGAGUUAAAGCUCCGGGUGUUGAUGCAUGGGAAAAAAAAAAAAAAACAAACCAAAAAACAACCAAACCUCCCCCCAAAAAAACCCCAAAACACUUUAGAAACUAGUGGCGGGGUGGAAGGAGGGGAAGAGGGGAGAAAGUUAAUUUAAAUUUCUAUCUGCGCUAAAAAUUGAUUUUUUAAAAAGUCACGAAGAAAAAUGGUUGAAAAUAAGUGGAAAAAUCAGCGGGGCAAAUGUGAUUUUAGGAGGGCAAAAAAGAAUAAAAGCGGCCGGCGGCUGCUGCGUGUUGGACA